GUGACAUUCCAGGCCUUUCAGUAAUAUCUUCUUUGCAUUCACUGUCUUUGCUUUGGCUCCGACUUUGGGGUGACGGUGGGGGUAGCAGAAGCUUCCUAUUUCUCUUUGGCCCCAUUUUGGUGAAAAGGAAGAUUUCUAUUUAAAGCUUACUCUAGGGCAGUGGAUCUCAACUGUCCGAAUGGUGCAACCCUUUAGUACACUUUCUCAUAUUAUGGUGGCCCCCAACCAUAAAAUUAUUUUCAUUGCUACUUCAUAACUAAUAUUUUCCUGCCGUUAUGAGUCAUGAUGUAAUAUCUGUGUUUUCUGGUGGUCUUAGGCGGCCCCUGAGAUGGAGACUUGCGACUACAGCAUGAGAACCAUUGCUCCAGGGCUUUGUGGAGGAGAAGGCAUGAAAAUGCCAGUUUCAAAAAUUAAGGCUCUGUUGCCCAAAAUUUAUAAUUUGUCAUAGAAUUUCUUUGGAAAUGUUACCUAUGAAUGUGUGCUACCUUUGAAUUUUAUUUUUCUUACAUUCUACAUUCCCCACUUCACCAGUGAGUUUAUUUUAAAUUCUGGAUUGGGAAGUAAACUAUUACUUUUUAUUGGGUCUAGUAAAAGCAAUAGCUACUAAAUACAAAAACAUUAUAUUAAAGUUUUUCUCUUCUCAUAGCAGUCCUUCAGAUUAUCACAGAUAAAUGUCACCCGCUGGCCACUUAGCUGGGUGUAGUGGCUCAAACCUUUAAUCCCAGCACUUGAGGCCAGCCUGGUCUACAUAGUGAGGUCUAGGCCAGCCUGAUCUGCAUAGUGAGGUCUAGGCCAGCCUGGUCUACAUAGUGAGGUCUAGGCCAGCCUGGUCUACAUAGUGAGGUCUAGGCCAGCCUGGUCUACAUAGUGAGGUCUAGGCCAGCCUGGUCUACAUAGUGAGGUCUAGGCCAGCCUGGUCUGUGUAGUGAGGUCUAGGCCAGCCUGAUCUGCGUAGUGAGAUCUAGGCCAGCCUGGUCUGCGUAGUGAGGUCUAGGCCAGCCUGGUCUACAUAGUGAGGUCUAGGCCAGCCUGGUCUGCAUAGUGAGGUCUAGGCCAGCCUGGUCUGCAUAGUGAGGUCUAGGCCAGCCUGGUCUGCAUAGUGAGGUCUAGGCCAGCCUGGUCUACAUAGUGAGGUCUAGGCCAGCCUGAUCUGCGUAGUGAGGUCUAGGCCAGCCUGGUCUGCAUAGUGAGGUCUAGGCCAGCCUGGUCUACGUAGUGAGGUCUAGGCCAGCCUGGUCUACAUAGUGAGGUCUAGGCCAGCCUGCUCUGCGUAGU